UUUCUCUGUCUUUCUUCCCCUUUCUAGAAUUUCCCCAGAGGCUGGUGACCAUUUCUCUUGGAUGGAUAUACACUGGACAGGCUGCUUUGAAAGUCCCAUCUUCCCUCAUCCUCCUUGCUGCAUUACUGAGCAUCUGACUACGAGUCCCUCUGUGUCACCGCCAUCUGUUAGACCUUCACUUCACCUUGCCAGUCCUCUUCUUGGUGSCUUUUUUUCAGGUUAGCAAGGCAGGAAUAAUAUCCAUAAUAUCACACACAAGAUAGGUCAAGUGAGUAGUCUAAUAAGGAAAAUACUGGAUGUUCAGCCUUUCCGAAACGUCUCAUCCCCUGAGGCAUUCGUGGAGAUGCUUGGGAGAUUAGAAGCACAGCAAGAACCAUCGCGACCAGGGAGCCCGAUCCCCUGUGCAGGCCACGAUAACUUGCUCCUCGCUGAGCAGAAGCGUCUUCGGAGCCACGCUCCYCUGGGCUGGGUAAGCAGAGUUGGUGCCGGUUCGGUUGUUUCCAAAUGAAAG
rnacentral:lncRNA from 1 species